rnacentral:rRNA from 1 species
UUAUACUUAGUGGCGGACGGGUGAGUAACGCGUGGGCGAACCUGCCCCGUCGCCGGGGGAGUACCGCCUGGAAACAGGCGCUAAUACCGCAUAAGCGCAUACAGCCGCAUGGCAGUAUGCGGAAAGCUCCGGCGGCACGGGAUGGGCCCGCGCCCGAUUAGCCAGUUGGCGGGGUAACGGGCCCACCAAAGCGACGAUCGGUAGCCGGCCUGAGAGGGCGGACGGCCACAUUGGGACUGAGACACGGCCCAAACUCCUACGGAAGGCAGCAG